rnacentral:SRP_RNA from 1 species
UGUCCUCUUUGAUCUUGCUUUAGUGAAUUGGGUCAGAUCAGGAAUGAAGCAGCCCUAAAUUAAGGUUUGGGUGCUUAGAGGGUCGCA